rnacentral:tRNA from 2 species
CGGUAGUUCAGUCGGUUAGAAUACCUGCCUGUCACGCAGGGGGUCGCGGGUUCGAGUCCCGUCCG